UAGAAAUUGAGACAGGACAGGUUCGGUCAG
rnacentral:piRNA from 1 species